rnacentral:lncRNA from 10 species
CUUCUGCGCCAUCUUGUGGCAGUUGAGAGCAGGCCCAGGGCAGAAGGGAGGCAGGGGCAUUAAGAGCUCAGGCCUCCAGCUGAGGGACUGCAGAUGUUGGGUAAGCUGACCCUGGAAUUAACAGGCUCACACCUUGGAGGGGGCAGUCCCAUAGCAGGCUCCCACCCUGCCCUUCAGAGUUGCAGCAGGUAAUGCUGAUGCCAGAACCUUGUCCUGACAGGAAGCCUCUGAUUAGGGCCCUGAACCAAGUUCCUUUUCGCAUCUGCAGACUCAUGGAGGCAACCACUCAAGGUCACUCUGAGAAGGGUUGAACGUGCUUUAUUAAAAGGACUGAGGAUCAUGUGUGUUGGUGUGUCCCGGAGUCUGCUCUAAGGCCCUGUGGCUGCCUGGUGCCCUGGGAAUGGUCCGGUCAUGGGCCUCAGCCCAGGAUGAGCAGCCAACAAUGCAAUCCCACGAAGAGUGUGCGGAAGGGAGAGGUUACUUCUCAAGAUGGAGCUGCCAAAUAGGGACACUUUGGAGAGUCUGGCCUGAGAACUUUUAGUUUCAAGAAUGUAUUGCUUUGGAAAAGACAGAAUAAAAGUCCAAGCACUGCCACUUAGAGGUUGUAUGUCCUUGGGAAAGUCACUGUACUUGGCAAUUAUAACCUUUACCCUGGAUACACCAUUCAUCUCCUGGGGCCAGGGGUUGUGCCACCUUGUUCAUUUCUAAACUAAAUGAUAUCUAAGCUAGUCUUUACCACAGUUUAAUUCUUACAAUAAUACUCCAAAGGAGAUAUAAUCAACCACAUUUCACAGAUGAGAGAGUUGGAAUCUUAAAAAGGUUAAACUCUUCGAGGUCAUUUGACGAAUAAAUAAUGGAGCCUGGAUUUCAACUGAAGUCUAACAAAUUC